GACGAACGCUGGCGGCGUGCCUAAUACAUGCAAGUCGAGCGGACUUGACAGAGCUUGCUCUGUUCAAGCUAGCGGCGGACGGGUGAGUAACACGUGGGCAACCUGCCCUGCAGAUUGGGAUAACUCCGGGAAACCGGGGCUAAUACCGAAUAACAUGGAAAACCUCAUGGUUUUCUUUUAAAAGGCGGCUUCGGCUGUCACUGCAGGAUGGGCCCGCGGCGCAUCAGCUAGUUGGUGAGGUAACGACUCACCAAGGCAACGAUGCGUAGCCGACCUGAGAGGGUGAUCGGCCACACUGGGACUGAGACACGGCCCAGACUCCUACGGGAGGCAGCAGUAGGGAAUCUUCCGCAAUGGGCGAAAGUCUGACGGAGCAACGCCGCGUGAGUGAAGAAGGUUUUCGGAUCGUAAAACUCUGUUGUUAGGGAAGAACAAGUAUCGGAGUAACUGCCGGUACCUUGACGGUACCUGACCAGAAAGCCACGGCUAACUACGUGCCAGCCGCCGCGGUAACAC
rnacentral:rRNA from 1 species